rnacentral:tRNA from 1 species
ACAUAAGUACUUGUUAAAUAGAAUAUAACUGCGGACUUAAAAUCCGUUGUCCGCAAGGCCGUGGGGGUUCAAGUCCCCCCUUGGGCA